rnacentral:rRNA from 1 species
AUUGAACGCUGGCGGCAUGCCUUACACAUGCAAGUCGAACGGCAGCACGGGUGCUUGCACCUGGUGGCGAGUGGCGAACGGGUGAGUAAUACAUCGGAACAUGUCCUGUAGUGGGGGAUAGCCCGGCGAAAGCCGGAUUAAUACCGCAUACGAUCUACGGAUGAAAGCGGGGGACCUUCGGGCCUCGCGCUAUAGGGUUGGCCGAUAGCUGAUUAGCUAGUUGGUGGGGUAAAGGCCUACCAAGGCGACGAUCAGUAGCUGGUCUGAGAGGACGACCAGCCACUCUGGGACUGAGACACGGCCCAGACUCCUACGGGAGGCAGCAGUGGGGAAUUUUGGACAAUGGGCGAAAGCCUGAUCCAGCAAUGCCGCGUGUGUGAAGAAGGCCUUCGGGUUGUAAAGCACUUUUGUCCGGAAAGAAAUCCUUGGCUCUAAUACAGUCGGGGGAUGACGGUACCGGAAGAAUAAGCACCGGCUAACUACGUG